GCUCAUUACGGGUCAAAGGCCGAUAAAGACGAGAGCAAAGAAUGCUAUUGCCACCUUUAAGAUAAGAGAAGGCCAACCGCUUGGAAUUGCAGUUACUCUGAGAGGAAAUGUGAGCUAUCUACAUUGACUGCUGCAUGAUGUCUUUUGUAUGUUGUGCAUUAGAUGAAUGUUUUUGGCAUAGAAAUGAUGAGAUUUGCAUAGUUUACAAUGCUAGUUUACCUUUAGCUAAGGGGGAUAUACUCAGACUGAGUUGCAUUCACUCUAACCUCAGGAAAUCUUAGGCUACUUUUGGCACACUGGAUUAGACCUUACAAGAAAUUAUGCAUAAAUUAGAGGAGAUAAUAAUAGGGGUGGACUAAAGUUGACAUCUAUAAAUUUUUCAUUCGAAAGAAUAUUAUUUGCAUUUUGCACUAUCUUUCUUAUCCGGCCUAAGCCCACCUCACUCAUAUUAUCCAGUAACUUAAGAAAGAUGGUGCAGAGAACAUUCUUUUGAAUAAAAAACUAAAACUUACUAUCUGCCUCAACCCAACCCCAAAUAGUUCCUGCAUAGUAUAUCUACUCAUUUUUAUACGUAAUUCCUUAUAAAGUCCAAUUCGGUGUGCCAAAUGCAACCUUUGUCUUUGGUAAUACCAGUAAACUGAUGGUUUCUCAUGUAUUAUAAUGGAAAGGGAGGAGUGAUAACGGCACUUCAUGUGAGAUGACAUAGAGGAGUGCCAAAAUCAUUUACCUAACCAAGAGAAAUCUUCAAGAUUCAUGGUUUGUAGCUUUGUGAAAAUGACAGAUCUGAGCAUUAAAUUUAUAUGGAUAUUUGCACAACCAUAUUGGGAUUGAAGCUGCAAUAUUCCUUUUUUGUUCAGAGUGUUUGUGGAUUUCAGGAUUCCAUUGCUCCUCAUGAACGCACCCAUUCGGAGAGUGUGAUAUUUAGCCCCUGUUUGGUGGGGAUUAAAAUCAGAUUUUUAUUAUUUUGAUAGAAGUUGAAAAAAAAUGUAUGGUUAAAAAGUUGUGAGUCCCAUGAAAUAUAUGGUCAAAAUUAAUUGUUGGCUUUAACUUACCAAACAGGGGCAUAAUGUGUACUGCCGGCUGAUCAUGCCACUGGGCUAUAAAUUUUUGGUUUGGCUUUGCAUGAGAGUCACGCAUCAUCUAUCACGCAAUAUAUCUUUUCUGGUUUCUUGUUCCUCAAACGAUUUAGAAUAUAUGUGAGCCCUGUGUUCCAAAUCAUGCACAGUUUGGUAGCUAAUAAAAUGUUAAAAGUGAACUCAUGCACCAUCCAAUACUUGAAUUUUCAUGCCAUGACCACGUCAAAUGUAAGUCUUUGGGCACGGAGACAGCCUUAUGCUUUGUGCUCUUCUUGAUCUAUUUACGACAGGUGAUGUACUAUUUUCUUGAUCGACUCAUUAAUCUAGGACUUCCUAGGACGAGGGAUUUUCAAGGUGUGAGCUCGAAUAGCUUUGAUGGGCAUGGAAACUACAGCAUUGGCUUCCGUGAGCAGAGCGUUUUCCCGGAGAUAAGUUAUGAUAUACUUGGUAAGCCACGGGGAAUGGAUGUUUGCAUAACCACAACAGCUAAUACAGAUAAAGAAGCCC
rnacentral:lncRNA from 1 species